rnacentral:rRNA from 1 species
AACGAACGCUGGCGGCAGGCUUAACACAUGCAAGUCGAGCGCAUCCUUCGGGGUGAGCGGCAGACGGGUGAGUAACACGUGGGAACGUACCCUUUUCUACGGAAUAACGCAGGGAAACUUGUGCUAAUACCGUAUGUGCACUUCGGGGGACAGAUUUAUCGGAAAAGGAUCGGCCCGCGUUGGAUUAGCUAGUUGGUGGGGUAAAGGCGCACCAAGGCGACGAUCUGUAGCUGGUCUGAGAGGAUGAUCAGCCACACUGGGACUGAGACACGGCCCAGACUCCUACGGGAGGCAGCAGUGGGGAAUAUUGGACAAUGGGCGCAAGCCUGAUCCAGCCAUGCCGCGUGAGUGAUGAAGGCCUUAGGGUUGUAAAGCUCUUUCGCCGACGAAGAUAAUGACGGUAGUCGGAGAAGAAGCCCCGGCUAACUUCGUGCCAGCAGCCGCGGUAAAAC